rnacentral:rRNA from 1 species
UACGUAGGAGACGAGCGUUGUCCGGAGUUACUGGGCGUAAAGCGUGCGCAGGCGGUUCGUUAAGUCAGCUGUGAAAGCCCCGGGCUCAACCUGGGAAUUGCGGUUGAAACUGGCGGACUAGAAUCUGGCAGAGGGGGGUGGAAUUCCACGUGUAGCAGUGAAAUGCGUAGAGAUGUGGAGGAACACCGAUGGCGAAGGCAGCCCCCUGGGCUGAGAUUGACGCUCAGGCACGAAAGCGUGGGGAGCAAACAGG